CGCGGGGUGGAGCAGCUCGGUAGCUCGCUGGGCUCAUAACCCAGAGGUCGCAGGUUCGAAUCCUGCCCCGCUA
rnacentral:tRNA from 1 species